rnacentral:tRNA from 1 species
GCUCCCGUCGUCUAGCGGUCUAGGACGCUGCCCUUUCAAGGCAGAGAUCAGGGGUUCAAAUCCCCUCGGGAGCA